AUUGAACGCUGGCGGCAUGCCUUACACAUGCAAGUCGAACGGCAGCACGGGAGCAAUCCUGGUGGCGAGUGGCGAACGGGUGAGUAAUAUAUCGGAACGUGCCCAGUCGUGGGGGAUAACGUAGCGAAAGCUACGCUAAUACCGCAUACGAUCUAUGGAUGAAAGCGGGGGAUCGCAAGACCUCGCGCGAUUGGAGCGGCCGAUAUCAGAUUAGGUAGUUGGUGGGGUAAAGGCUCACCAAGCCGACGAUCUGUAGCUGGUCUGAGAGGACGACCAGCCACACUGGGACUGAGACACGGCCCAGACUCCUACGGGAGGCAGCAGUGGGGAAUUUUGGACAAUGGGCGCAAGCCUGAUUCAGCCAUGCCGCGUGCAGGAUGAAGGCCUUCGGGUUGUAAACUGCUUUUGUACGGAACGAAAAGACUCUGGUUAAUACCUGGGGUCCAUGACGGUACCGUAAGAAUAAGCACCGGCUAACUACGUGCCAGCAGCCGCCGUAAGAC
rnacentral:rRNA from 1 species